CUUGAUUGUACAAGUCGUAUCUUGUUUCUACAAAUUAUUAUCUUGUUUGUACAAGUUAUAUAUUGUUUGUACAAGUUAUGUCUUGUUACUACAAGUCGUAUCUUGUUUCUACAAGUCAUAUCUAGUUUUUACAAGUCACUUAUUUUUUCUACAAGUCACAUAUUCUGUCACAUAUUGUUAAAUCUAUCAAUCACUAGAUCUGAUUAGACUGUGUAGUUUGGACACAAAAAGGAAGUAGAAGAAGAAGAGAUCAAUAACUACUUCCUUUCUUGGUCCUUCAGGAGUCGGCUCUCAGUGAGGAGUUCUCUCCUCCUCUUCCUCACAUCUCCUCCUCUCCUCCUGUUGACUCCUCUUCCUCCAGAUCCUCCCACCCGUACCACACGCUGUCCCAGUCCUCUGAUGAGCCCUUUGAGGACUCUUCCUGUCUUGUGUCGUCGUGGACGACCCAGCAGGUCUCUCAUUGGCUGAGAGGACUCCACCUGGAGCAAUACGUCCCAGAAUUCAGUGCAAGAGACGUAGACGGACAACAGCUGCUGCAGAUGGACGGCAACAAGCUGAAGGCUCUCGGUGUCCUCAGUUCUUCGGAUCGCAGCAUUUUGAAGCGUCGCAUCAAAGAUCUUCACUCUGCAGCCGAGAAAGAAAGAAAAGCUCUGAGACAGAAACAGAAGCAACGAAGAAGAGACAACGAACACCGCAGGAACUGACCUCCAUCACCAGAGGGAGACAGAGGGCAAACAGACAGUCAGACAGUCAGUCUCUGUGGGUCUCAGUGUCCUCCUGGAUUGUGUACAAAAGACAGAGUGGACAUUGGGACGGUGUCUCUACGGUGUCCCUGAAGGACAAUCAUGAGUCAGUUUGUUUUUUUGAUCAAAUUUAUCAUUUUAAACAUUCAAAUUUAAAGUUUAAUCUCUGAAGAGCAGGGUCUGCAUUAAGCCCUGCCUCCUACGAAGGACACGCCCAUUUGACAACUCCCUCUCCUGGGGCGGGGUUAUAGUCUGUGGCGUCACUUCCUGGAGGCGGGGCCUGAUAGUCUUCUAGCUGGAAGAAGCUGGUUGAAAUGUUUUGAAAGAGAAAAGUUGUUACUGUAGAAGAAGAAGAAACAUCUGGAGGUGAUUUAGUGAUAAAAGAAGUGAAGAAGAAGAAAUCAGACAUCACUAAACCUUCAAAUCAUUUCAAUAAAUACAUCU